AUGAGAAUUGCAAUAUGAUGUUUCCCAUCAAGGGGACUAGAGGAGACACUGAAAGGGUGCCACUGCAGCCAGGACAACUCGCGUAUUUGUAAGAAUAUCCAGCCAAGGGCGUUGUAAUGUAAAUCUACAUAGCGAGGGAAGAAAACACAUUUUUUUUUUUAUAACACUACAGUGUUUUGGAAGCUAGCAAGUAACUGUCCGCAAAGAGAAGACAUUAAUGACAAAAUGAAAAAUGGGACUGAAAUUUGAGACGUACAAAAAACUGGAAAUUUAUGUGGUAUUGAAAAAUUGAUGUCUCCGUCGAACCCAAAGAGUCACUCAAUCCUUUGCCUGAUUCAUGUUAGAGGCCUUUCCCAUUAUAUAUACGAGUUGAUAGAUAAACCCCUCAUUGGACCAGCCCAAAUGUCAGUAGAAUUGUA